CCCAAUUUCCCAGUUCCCCUCCAUCAGAAAAAACUGCCCUCGCCGUCGCCGAACUCUUCUUGUCAGCAAGAGGGUGCCUCGCCGCCAGUAGUGACAAACAGAGGGUUAGCUCAAAGCUCUUGGCCAUCCAUUCUCUUCUCCUCCACGUCGUGGCCUUUACCCUUGCAGAUCGAAGCUCGUGGCCUCUUCACUACAUCGUCUUCGUCUUCUUCGUUGUGGACUUGCAGAUCGAAGUGUGGUCAGUUGGAUUCCUCCAUCGUCUUCGUCUUCUUCGUCGUGGACUUGCUCGAUCCUUGUCUCUGUCUCGUCGUUCCUCCCUUGCCGGUAGUUGAGUUUUGUUCUUUCCUCGCCGCCUGUUUCGCUCUUCCUUCGAAGUCAGAUUGAUUCCUCUGUCGUCUGUAAAUCUGCUUCAUUUUUUCUUUUGUUAAUUUCUAUGAAUUUGAGUUUCUGUAUUUUAAUGAUUCAAACCUAUGUUUGCUUCAAUUUAUGGUUGCUUAUUUUAUUAGUUUUAUUGAGGUACUGAAUUCUGAUUCUUGGUUGCUGUUUCUUUUACUUCUGAGUUAGUGUUGAUGGUGGUAUGAAGGCCAAAUUUGGAUUAAUGGUGUAAUUUUUGUCUCUGAAUUCUCUGAUUUUUUCUAUUUUUGAAUUAUAAAAAAUUAUUUUGAAAGAUUUUCUUGUUUUAUACUUUUGUU
rnacentral:lncRNA from 1 species